AGGGCUUCGACUCGCCAAGCGGGCGUGUUUUCCGUUUGAUUCGAGUUCAUGUUUCAGCGUCGGGCAGCUUCUGGCGUGCUCGUGGCCUUGCCUGCUUCCGAAGUAACCACGCUGCUUUACUGAAGGAUGCCUGUGUCCUCUACGGGUCCACGUUCAUGGUGUGGUGUGGCCGGGCACCGAAACUCUGGAGGAUACUUUGGAGGCUUGCAGACACGGCUGUCGUUAGCGCCGCUCGCACCUCUCGGCACGCCUCGUGGUCUUGGCAACCAAGAAUCAAAUUACAGCCCAUGCAAAUGGACCUCCUGGUGAGUGUGUCGGUCUCCCACAGUAACAGACCAUUCUCUCUUUCUUUCUCUCUUUCUCUCUCUCUCUAAUAGCUUGUGGUGGAACUCUAACUGUGAAGUAGGGGAAACAAACCAUAUGCUAUGAGACUAACAAUAUACAUAUAUCUAUGAAAUGCAAAGCAUGUUCAGCCCUAGACAAAUAAAGCAUACAAUUCAUUCUACUUGGCAGGCCUGGGUUCAAAUAGUACUUUUAUUUAAAAUACUGUCAGCGUUCCAUUGAGCCUGUCUGGAGUGCCAGAGGGGUGGUGUUUUAACUUUUGGGGCUAUUCCAUUGGUUUUAUUGUGUCAGACAAGCUCAAUCAAGUGGAGCUGAAGUAUUGAAAUAAACAAAUACUAUUUGAACCUCAGACUCA
rnacentral:lncRNA from 13 species